AACGAACGCUGGCGGCAUGCCUAACACAUGCAAGUCGAACGAAGCCUUCGGGCUUAGUGGCGCACGGGUGCGUAACGCGUGGGAAUCUACCCUAGGGUGCGGAAUAACUCAGAGAAAUUUGAGCUAAUACCGCAUAAUGUCUUCGGACCAAAGAUUUAUCGCCCUGGGAUGAGCCCGCGUAAGAUUAGCUAGUUGGUGGGGUAAAAGCCUACCAAGGCGACGAUCUUUAGCUGGUCUGAGAGGAUGAUCAGCCACACUGGGACUGAGACACGGCCCAG
rnacentral:rRNA from 1 species